GACGAACGCUGGCGGCGUGCUUAACACAUGCAAGUCGAACGGAAAGGCCCUGCUUUUGUGGGGUGCUCGAGUGGCGAACGGGUGAGUAACACGUGAGUAACCUGCCCUUGACUUUGGGAUAACUUCAGGAAACUGGGGCUAAUACCGGAUAGGAGCUCCUGCUGCAUGGUGGGGGUUGGAAAGUUUCGGCGGUUGGGGAUGGACUCGCGGCUUAUCAGCUUGUUGGUGGGGUAGUGGCUUACCAAGGCUUUGACGGGUAGCCGGCCUGAGAGGGGGACCGGCCACAUUGGGACUGAGAUACGGCGCAGACUGCUACGGGAGGCAGCAGUGGGGAAUAUUGCACAAUGGGCGGAAGCCUGAUGCAGCAACGCCGCGUGCGGGAUGACGGCUUUCGGGUUGUAAACCGCUUUCGCCUGUGACGAAGCGUGAGUGACGGUAAUGGGUAAAGAAGCACCGGCUAACUACGUG
rnacentral:rRNA from 1 species